rnacentral:lncRNA from 1 species
GUGAGUAGCAAAGGAUUUUGUCCAUAACUAUAUGUAUAUUAUCUAAUUUUGAGAAAUAAAAAUCAUUAGUAUAAAUAUUUUGAAUAAAAUGAGAGAAAUACACUAGAAAUAUAGAGUUAAGUAUAGUUAUGUUUGGUUAUCUUCGAAUAUUCAUUCGGGUUCGGAUAUUAUCCGUUCGGAUUCAGAUAUUACCUGAACUGGUGGAAUAAGUAAUUUGUUUUGUUGUUCUAGUUAGAUGAUUUUUAGACCGAGCUGGUGAAUAUAUACUAGACAAACAUUUAUAUUUUGAGUCUGCACUUAUAUUCUAUAACAGCUUGAUAUAUUAGAUUUGAACACUAACCUGUUAAUAUAGUUUGCCGGUGAUUUUUUUCAAAAUUUUGAUUCUUAGAUAUGUAUAUGGAGUGAAACUAAUUUUUACAUAUGUCCAUUUUUUUAAUUG